CAAUAGCGUAUAUUAAAGCUGUUGCGGUUAAAAAGCUCGUAGUUGGAUAUCAGUGCGUGUCCGGUCCGGUAUGCCCGGCGGCGGCGCUCGCGCGUCACUGCCGGGCUCCCAAAUAUCGGCUGGCCGCAUUCAAUCGUGCCGGAUCCGUCGACGGGCCGUUCUACGGAGGGGCCUGUUGGCGACCGGCGACGUUACCUUGAACAAAUUAGAGUGCUCAAAGCAGGCUCUGAAUGCCUGUAUACAUAUUCAUGGAAUUGGAGAAUACGUCCCUGGCUCGAUUUGGUUGGUUUUGAGAGUCGAAGGGAAAUGAUUAAUAGGGACUGACGGAGGCAUUCGUAUUGCGACGCGAGGGGUGAAAUCCUGUGACCGUCGCACGACGAACUACUGCGAAAGCAUUUGCCGAGAAUGUUUUCAUUAG
rnacentral:rRNA from 1 species